UUAAAUUGAAGAGUUUGAUCAUGGCUCAGAUUGAACGCUGGCGGCAGGCCUAACACAUGCAAGUCGAACGGUAACAGGAAACAGCUUGCUGUUUCGCUGACGAGUGGCGGACGGGUGAGUAAUGUCUGGGAAACUGCCUGAUGGAGGGGGAUAACUACUGGAAACGGUAGCUAAUACCGCAUAACG
rnacentral:rRNA from 1 species